AGCCAAGUUGGAAGCCCCUCUGCACUGAUAACCGGACCAACAAGGCCAGCACCUGUGCCUAACCGUGACAGCCAAGUUGGAAGCCCCUCUGCACUGACAACCGGACCAACAAGGCAAGCACCUGUUCCUAACCAUGACAGCCAAGUUGGAAGCCCCUCUGCAGCUCACUGCUGCAGGUGCUCUGCUCCUCGUGCAACUGUUGGCACACAAACAGAGGCGACAGAUGCAGACACUGCAGAUUCUGUCAUACCCGUGUCUGCACAGGUCAACCCUGGGUGCAAUGCGGCUGCCC